GAAUCAAGGCCCUAACAUCCAGAACCUCAGCAGUCUCUCUGGCUGCCAUCCACAUCAUCUGCCCAGACAUGAAGAGAGCGGGACAGGACCACAGUGUGGCCAGCUUAUGACCCAGCUACAGCCUUGGGUCUGUACUCUCCCUGCAGUCAGAGGAUGGGGACACGUGGCACACUGCUGGCCUGAGCACAACAGGAGUCCGUUUCCUUGGGGACAUUUCUUGGAAAUAAAGAAAGUUCCGUUGCUCCUGCCUUCAGCUUGGCUGCCUACUCCACGUUAUACAAAUACACCUCCUCUGUGCAGCGCAAACGACCUCUACGCCAGUGGUGCUGAAGGAGGCCUUCGCUACUUGCAUCCAUCCUAUCAGCGUCCAGAGGAGUGAACACGUAGAUGUCUAUCACUGACUUCAUACCCUUCCCCCAACAAAAAAACCUUAAAAUCAUAAUUACAUCCUUCUC